rnacentral:ncRNA from 1 species
AAUUAUGCUUACCUAUCACAAGGAAUAGGACUAGAUAGAAAGUUUGGCUGGGGCGGCACACCUUCGAAAGAGCAGCGAAGGUGUCCUAAGUUGAGCUCAGUGAGGACAGAAAUCUCACGUUGAGGAUAAGGCCAAAAGCUCAAUUUACUGUGCCUUUUUGUACUAGGAUCAGUUACGAAAGUAAGGCCUAACGAUCCCUAAAUAGCCUCAGGUGCGUGAGGAUUGGGGUGACAGACAAGUUACCUCCGGGACAACUGGCUUGUGGCUGCUAAGAGAUCAAAUCAACGCAGCUUUUUGAUUCUUCGAUGUCGGCUCUUCCUAUCCUAGUGAUGUACAAGUUGCUAAGGGUCGGAUUGUUCACCCGUAUUAGGGAUCGUGAGCUGGGUUUAGACCGUCGUGAGCCAGGUUUGUUUUAUCCUACUGGAUAUAGCAUCAUGAUAGUAGAUUGAUUUAGUACGAGAGGAACUGUUGAUUAUGGCCUCUGGUUAGCGAUUAUCGGAAACGGUAUGUCGCGCAGCUACGCCGUCUGGGAUAAUGGCUGAAAGCCUCUUAAGCCAGAAGCCCAUCUAGAAAGUGAUGCACGUGAUGUUGGACCGAUACGAAUAAUCAUACUCAAAAGGUCCGCUUCAUAGGUAACCCAAUGUAGAAGACAUUGUGUGAACGAAGGUACUGUAAGCAGUGGAGUGGCAUUACGUCCACGACCUGUUGAGGUUCAGCUUCGCUUCUAGGUUUCC